rnacentral:rRNA from 1 species
GACGAACGCUGGCGGCGCGCCUAACACAUGCAAGUCGAACGGAGAUACCUGUUAGAUCCCUUCGGGGUGACGAUGGACUAUCUUAGUGGCGGACGGGUGAGUAACACGUGAGCAACCUGCCUUACAGAGUGGGAUAACGUUUGGAAACGAACGCUAAUACCGCAUAACAUUAACUUAUCGCAUGGUAAGAUAAUCAAAGAAAUUCGCUGUAAGAUGGGCUCGCGUCUGAUUAGAUAGUUGGUGAGGUAACGGCUCACCAAGUCGACGAUCAGUAGCCGGACUGAGAGGUUGAACGGCCACAUUGGGACUGAGACACGGCCCAGACUCCUACGGGAGGCAGCAGUGGGGAAUAUUGCACAAUGGGGGAAACCCUGAUGCAGCGACGCCGCGUGAGGGAAGAAGGUUUUCGGA